UACGUAGGGGGCUAGCGUUGUCCGGAUUUAUUGGGCGUAAAGAGCGUGUAGGCGGCCAGGUAGGUCUGCUGUGAAAACUCGAGGCUCAACCUCGAGAUGUCGGCGGAAACCAUCUGGCUAGAGUCCGGAAGAGGAGAGUGGAAUUCCUGGUGUAGCGGUGAAAUGCGCAGAUAUCGGGAAGAACACCCGUGGCGAAGGCGGCUCUCUGGGACGGUACUGACGCUGAGACGCGAAAGCGUGGGGAGCGAACAGG
rnacentral:rRNA from 1 species